CGCGUAGGCGGCCUGUCAAGUCAGAUGUGAAAUCCCCGGGCUUAACCCGGGAACUGCAUUUGAAACUGGCGGGCUUGAGGGCAGGAGAGGAAAGCGGAACUCCCAGUGUAGCGGUGAAAUGCGUAGAUAUUGGGAGGAACACCAGUGGCGAAGGCGGCUUUCUGGACUGUCACUGACGCUGAGGCGCGAAAGCCAGGGGAGCGAACG
rnacentral:rRNA from 1 species